rnacentral:rRNA from 1 species
UAGGGAAUAUUGGACAAUGGGGGCAACCCUGAUCCAGCCAUGCCGCGUGAGUGAAGAAGGCCCUCGGGUUGUAAAGCUCUUUUGUCCGGAAAGAAAAGCUUCGGGUUAAUACCCCGGGGUUCUGACGGUACCGGAAGAAUAAGCACCGGCUAACUUCGUGCCAGCAGCCGCGGUAAUACGAAGGGUGCAAGCGUUACUCGGAAUUACGGGGCGAAAAGCGUGCGUAGGUGGUUGUUUAAGUCUGAUGUGAAAGCCCUGGGCUCAACCUAGGAAUGGCAUUGGAAUCUGGGCAGCUAGAGUGCGGUAGAGGGUAGUGGAAUUCCCGGUGUAGCAGUGAAAUGCGUAGAGAUCGGGUGGAACAUCUGUGGCGAAGGCGACUGCCUGGACCAGCACUGACACUGAGGCACGAA